AAAAGCACUUUGUGGAGUCCGGUUUUACUUUUCUCCACUAAAAACAAAAGAGUAACUGCUGGUUGUUUGUGGCUUUUAUAGCAGGGAAGAACAGUGUCGGUCAGUGUGUGUUGAUCAUUUAGCUGUGAUGUAAGCCAGCCUUCAGGGGCUGAGCUGGUAACAGCGGUGAACACGGCAGUCAAAAGCCAUCCCAAUUUCGCGCCUUUUUAAAACAGCCAACUGAGUCUACAUGUGCAUGGGUGUGGGACGACCAUGCAUAGGACUCCCUCCUACCACGGGUUACAUCCUCAACGAUCUUCUUCACCUGGCCAUUUCCCACUUGCCAAGAGCUCAGCAAGGGGUGGGGCCCGGAAAUUACCCGCCCACUCUGUGCUGGCACUUUGGCUGGUCUUGUGCAGAUGGAGAGGGGGCAGUCCUGGAGAUUCGACCUAAGCAUAUGCCGGACAAGUGCUCUACCACUGAGCCAUACCCCAGCCUGAUGUGGUUUUUACAUCCUGAGACAAAGUCGUGCGGUUACCCAGAGGACCUGGAUUUAGUUCCCAGCAAUAACAUGGAAGUUCACAGCCACCCGUAACUCCAGUUCCAGGGGAUGCAACACCUCUUCUGACCUCCGCAGCCACCAGAGUUGGAUCCUUCUUCCUGGAAAUCCUCUCCGUACUUUCUUCUUAUGCGGCCUCUGCUGAGUGAGCUGCAGGAAGAGGCCCUGAAGCAUUGAAACGCCAGCCUUCUUUUUCUCUCUGUGCACCCUGCAGCCAUUUUAGAGGAGGAAUUCUGUGAGCCCAACCCAGUGUCACAGUCAUAGCUGGCUGGACCAGGUGCCUUCGGCUAAGCCGCCUCGGGGGUUAUUUGCCAUGACCUGACCCCAUCAUGGCCAGUCUUCUUUUAGGGAAGGAUAGCACGUUAGAAGAAUGGCUUAUUUGCCGUUGGCGUAUCAUGGAAAAUACAACAUUCUUGAUUCUUCAAGCAGCCACUACAUCUCCUAGUACACGAAGAGCACCGAAGCCAGGUUCUCUGAAUGGCCUCAGAAGCAAUUCCCUCUGCUACUCCAGAGUCCCACAUAUCUUUGUUAAUAAUCUCGAUCAACUGCAGUAAGCCUCUGCAUGUCUUUUAUUUAAGUCAACACAUUUUUUUUCCUCAGAAAUAUUUCAAAUGGAAAGCACAUGGAUAACUCCAGGCAAGAUCAAUUGGCUGCCUUCCAAGAGACUCCACAAGAUAAAUUAUCUUGGUGGAUUUAUCACAGCCCAUGCUCUGGUUCUCAGCCUACAGAUUUAGAUUUUUAGAAACUGGAUUUUAUCAACAUAGCAGAUCUAUUUGUCAUUACUGGUAUACAUUAAUCAGCUCUCAAAGACUGAUAGAAAAAGCCAGUAUAUCUAUAUAUUAGUGGCUUUCCCGAAGACUGGAAUGCUUGAUGGAACAUCAUAUUCAGCAAAGAUUAGAGUAAGGAAAGCCUGUGUGUUAUAACAUCCAUGGAGGGGGAGGUAGAGUUAAUUCCAGGAACUGCUCGUAACCUUCAGCUGAUAUUACUGCUGGGGAAGCUGGUAACAAACCGCCCUCUACGGUAGGUCCGCUCCAGAAGUGAUGAUCUUUCUUCAGUUCAGUAUUUGGCGAUGGAUCAUCUGCAAGAGAGAUCUAUACAUUCCAGGGACAAGGCUCUUGCAUCUGUGUCCAACGGUACUCUCUCUCUCUCUUGGAUGAUGACAAUAAUAAUAAAUAUAAUAAUAAAUCAUACCUAAGAAGUUGACUCAAUAAUUGGGUCCAGGAGAUUGAGGUAGAGGCAGGAAUUAAAGAUGUCCUCUCCCAGUUACGUGAUGACUCAAAUAUUUGGAUGCAUAACAGAGCCAUUUUAUUUAUGUAGCGAUAAGACUGUGGGUCCAAUUUUGGACACAGAGUGAUAUAGGGGUGCCUUUGAUAUUUCCAAAUUGAACUGUAGUGGAGGCAGUUCUCUAUGCAGACCUGUUACUCAGAAUUGGGAGCUGUGCCAAAGACAAAAAUUUGGGAGUUGUCAGCAUAUACAUGGCUGAAGUCAUAGGGGUUGAUAGAGGAGGCCAUCAUGUUUUCCUCGGGAAUACACAGAAAACAAAGAGUAGAAGGCAUGAUUCCGAGCCCCCGAUGUUUAACUUUUGGGCAGAAAAUGAGAAGCAGACGUAAGAGACUAAGACAGAGUAGCCAACAAAUCUGCUUUCAUGGAAACAAAGGUCUGAGACUAUUUCCAAAAGUGUAUAGUUGUUUCGAAUGGACAUAAGUUCUGAGUACACAGCAAUACCCAGGUACUGCCACGAAUAGAGUGUCCUGGGUUUAGCACACCAGCCACUGUUAUAGACCAGACAGUGCUGCCCCGCCGCACCAUGAUGCAUCUGCCCUCUACAAUGGAGGCCACUUCAGUUAUUUGCUACACACAGACCGGAAGACCAGGAACUUAACAGGAUUAGCAACAAAAGAGCAACAACAGAAAGAGAUGUUGCCAUUGGUGACCUUGCAAGAAGGAGCAUCAGCAGCAGUGAUGUGCUAAUGAGGGUGAGCGCUGAGUAAGCUGAGGAGACCAAGGCUUGCCUAGAAGAAAGAAGCACAUGCGAACCUGCCCCAGUGCAUGUCAGAGAGACAGUCCAAUGUUUGUUACUGAAGAGUGUGUGUGUUGGGGGACUAAAUCAGAGUACUGCACAAUACCCUUUUGAUGGGUGGAAGUUGGUGUGGGAGGGUCUUGGCAUGUAGUCUAGGGUGGCCUUGAGCACACUAUGUAGAUCAGGCUGCCCCUGAACUCACAACCCUUCCUGUCUGCCUCCUUGGUGCUGGGCUUACAGGUAUACAUCACCAUGACUGACUCAAAAUACCCUUUAUAUAUUAUUAUCCAAUCAUAUUAUUUAUUUAUAGUGUGUGUGUGUGUGUGUGUGUGUGUGUGUGUGUGUGUGUGUGUGUUUGUGUUUGUGUUGUGUGAGGUGUGUGUGGUGGUUGUGUAUGUAGGUGUCAUUUAAGUAAACAUGCAUGAGUGUGCUUGGGAAGCUGGUGUCUUCUGAAUCACUCUCCACCCUAUCUUUUGAGACAAGGUCUCGAACUGAACCCAGAACUCACCAGCUGGCUAGACUGGCCUGCUGACUAACCCUAGAGACCCUCCUGCUUCUUCCCCAGCCCUGAGAGAUCACACUUAGGUUGGGAAGCUUGAGCCACAGGCAUUUUACCAAAUGAAUCCCCACCAUCCCAUAAAAAUACCCUGUACGAACUUACUUUGUAAUUUAGCUGUAGGAACUCUAAUGUGUAAAGUAGAAUUUGCUCUUUAAAACAGUGGAUCAUUAAUCACUUUAAAAGUUAAGUCUAGAGAUACUAGACUGUUUUCUGGAACUAUUUGAUGUCCAAGGCAAGCAAUUUGGAACAGUGACAGCAGAGGACCUCAGAGACCAUCGCUUUAAAGUGAGUGACUGCAUCCUGAUUCUCCUGAAUAAAUUAAGGUCAAAGUUUAAAACAGGGUAAUAUUGAACACAAACUUAAGAUGACAUUUGACAACCUCCGUGUGCAGCAUGGAACGCCAAUAAACUUAAGGGACCAUUUGCCGCACUUGGCACACGCUCCACACCACUGCUAUCCAGAUCCGGCUUUCUGGGCUUGAACUGGCAAGCAGGGACAUUGAAGCAUUCUACUCCAUAGCAUUUCCUCUGGGAAUAAAUUAACUUGAAAAUUUCCAGAGGUGCUAUUCAGUGAGGACCGGGUAAAGAGAAAAUGAAGAACAACAGGUUAGUAAGUAUUUCUUCCUCAGAGUAGAGAGGAGAAUGUCUCUUUAGACAGUAAUCCCAACACCCAUACACUCAACACAGACUAUAAUAACUGUAGAUGUCACGUAGAUUCUCUCUCUCUCUCUCUCUCUCGACAGUUCUCACUAUGUAGCUCUGGCUGGUCUGGAACUUAUUUAUGAAAUUUACCAUAAUUAAGAACAGCUAAAAAGCUGGGCAGUGGUAGUGCACGUCUUUAAUCCCAGCACUCGGGAGGCAGAGCCAGGCGGAUCUCCGUGAGUUCAAGGCCAGCCUGGUACAGAGUGAGAUGCAGGACAGGCACCAAAACUAC